rnacentral:ncRNA from 2 species
CGCUUAUAGAGAAAGGCAGAGGGAAUAGACCCGCUGAAGCCUUAGCAACCUGAUGCCGUAUCAAGGUGCUGCAUUCUACUCGUCAACUGGCGGGAAAGAUAAGCU